rnacentral:rRNA from 1 species
GACGAACGCUGGCGGCGUGCUUAACACAUGCAAGUCGAACGGAAAGGCCCUGCUUUUGUGGGGUGCUCGAGUGGCGAACGGGUGAGUAACACGUGAGUAACCUGCCCUUGACUUUGGGAUAACUUCAGGAAACUGGGGCUAAUACCGGAUAGGAGCUCCUGCUGCAUGGUGGGGGUUGGAAAGUUUCGGCGGUUGGGGGUGGACUCGCGGCUUAUCAGCUUGUUGGUGGGGUAGGGGCUUUCCAAGGCUUUGACGGGUAGCCGGCCUGCGAGGGUGACCGGCCACAUUGGGACUGAGAUACGGCCCAGACUCCUACGGGAGGCAGCAGUGGGGAAUAUUGCACAAUGGGCGGAAGCCUGAUGCAGCAACGCCGCGUGCGGGAUGACGGCCUUCGGGUUGUAAACCGCUUUCGCCUGUGACGAAGCGUGAGUGACGGUAAUGGGUAAAGAAGCACCGGCUAACUACGUGCCAGCAGCCGCCGCAGUAA